rnacentral:rRNA from 1 species
GGGUUCACCCAUUGGUCAGGCUUAAUUGUCUGUACUGGUGAGAUGAGUCUCUACCUUCUGAGGAACUUUCAUGCCAUUUAUUUGGUGUGGUUGGAAAUCAGGACUGUUACUUUGAAAAAUUAGAGUGUUUAAAGCAGGCUAACGUCUGAAUACAUUAGCAUGGAAUAAUGAAAUAGGACGGAUUGAUUCUAUUUCGUUGGUUUCUAGGGUCACCGUAAUGAUUAA